GGUUAUGGCUCAGUGGUACAGCACUGGCCUAGCACAUGUGAGGCACUGGGUUCAAUCCUCAGUACCA
rnacentral:tRNA from 1 species